UCCCUGGUGUCUAAUGAUAAAGAAUCUGCCUGUAAUGCAGGAGACCUGGGUUCGAUCCCUGGGUCGGGAA
rnacentral:tRNA from 1 species